rnacentral:rRNA from 2 species
GGACUACACGGGUAUCUAAUCCCGUUCGCUCCCCUGGCUUUCGCGCCUCAGCGUCAGUGGAGGGCCAGCCCGUCGCUUUCGCCACCGGCGUUCCUUCCGAUAUCAACGCAUUUCACCGCUCCACCGGAAGUUCCACAGGCCCCUACCUCCCUCAAGACGAGCAGUUUCCCAGGCACUUUUCCGGUUAAGCCGAAAGAUUUCACCCCGGACUUGCUCGUCCGCCUACGCGCCCUUUAAGCCCAGUGAAUCCGAAUAACGUUCGCACGGUUCGUCUUACCGCGGCUGCUGGCAC